CCCUCCGCUUCCCUCUACCGGUUUGCCCGAAAUCAUCACAAUACCUCGACUUCAUCCUUCUCUCUUGCGCCCGAAGCCCUAGUGCUACAGUCGGACUGGAGCUCUCUGUGAAGGCAACGACGGGACCGCGACGCACCAAGAUCUCUGAAACCUGGUAAAACUCCCCUUUUCACUCCACUCCUACCUGACUAACCCUCGUCUUUCUCUUUCCUCCUCCUACACCCCCUUCGUGCGCCUCAGCUAUGCCAAAUCCUCUAAAUCCACCUCCUAACGGGAUUUACUGUAUCUGGGAUUUAAGGCAAAACGUAGGAGAAACGGGAUUGAAGGCGCUGUAGGAUAUAAAUUUGUCAUUUUUGCUGUUUGACAGGAUUUAGGUUAAAUUAUGCUUAAAUCCUAUUUGGUGACAGCCCCUUCCCCUCUCUGUCCGAAGCCCUAGCCUACAUUCUCCUCUCCCGGUUUUGCCCAAACUUCCCAUCGGCGCCCAAACCCUCGCUUAUCUCCCUCCCGGUUUCGCCGAAACUUCCCAUCGGCGCCCAAACCCUCGCUUAUCUGCCUCCCGGUUUUUCCCAAAACCAUCGCUUUCGUGAACGAACCUUCACGAUACAGUCGCCAUUAGAGCUACCUGGGAAGGCAACGACGGGAUCGCGGCUUACAAGGACCACGAAACUCCCAUCUUUCUCAUCCUUUGGCUCCGCUACUACCAGAAACCAUUUAGGAAGUUGGAAGUUGUUUGAAUGAUGCGAUUUAUUUGAAGCGCUGUAAGCUGCGUGGCAAAGCAUUAGUUUAAUUGAUGGCUCCAAUGGCUGAUCUUAGAAAUGGUAACACAAGACCUCCAGCAUCUGGAUCUGCUGGCGCUUACACAAUUGAUGUUGUUAACUUCAGCAAUCGGUUGAAAGUGUUUUACACUCACUGGCGGGAAAAUAAGUCUGAUCUUUGGGGCGCUUCAUCUUCUAUUGCUAUUACUACACCCCCUCCUUCUGAUGAUAUUCGAUAUCUAAAAUCCUCGGCCUUGCAUAUCUGGUUGUUUGGAUAUGAAUUUCCAGAAACGAUUAUGGUUUUUAUGAACAAAAAGAUCCAUUUCUUGUGCAGUCCGAAGAAGGCUGCUGUCCUAGAAACUGUAAAAAAAUCGGCAAAGGAUGCUGUUGAUGCUGAAAUCAUAAUUCACGUCAAGCAAAAAAGUGAUGAUCUAUCUGCUUUGAUUGAUGUUUUAUUACACGCCAUUCAAAGUGAGUCAGAGAAGCCAAUUGUUGGCCGAAUUCAACGAGAAGAACCAGAAGGAAAGCUCAUGGAAAGCUGGACAGAGAAGUUGGCUGGCUCUAAUUUUCAGCUUUCUGACAUCACGGCUGGGUUUUCUGAAUUGUUUGCUAUCAAGGAUGCCUCUGAGCUUAACUGUGUGAGGAAGGGAGCGUAUCUCACUGCAAUGGUGAUGAAAAACUUUGUCGUUCCAAAGCUUGAGCAAACUAUUGAUGAGGAGAAGAAGGUCUCCCAUUCAACUCUUAUGGAAGAGACGGAGAAGGCAAUUAACGAUCCUAUUAAAUUGAAGGUCAAGCUGAAGGCUGAAAAUGUUGAUAUUUGCUACCCUCCGAUUCUUCAGAGUGGGGGAAAGUUUGAUUUGAGGCCGAGCGCAUCAUGCAAUGAUGAUAAUCUCUACUACGAAUCUUCAAGUGUGAUUUUAUGUGCAUUAGGGGCACGCUAUGGCAGCUAUUGCUCAAAUAUUGCUCGGACUUUUCUUAUUGAUGCUAACGCUAAACAGAUCAAAGCAUAUGAGGUUCUCCUCAAGGCACAGAAUGCUGCCAUCAGUGCAUUGAAGCCUGGGAACAUGCUCAGUUCUGCUUACAGAGCUGCUGUUUCAGUUGUUGAGAACGAAGCCCCUGAGCUUCUUCAAAAUCUUUCCAAGUCAGCUGGGACAGGAAUUGGUUUGGAGUUCCGUGAAUCUGGGUUGACUUUGAAUGCAAGAAAUGAUCACAAGGUGAAACCGGGGAUGGUUUUCAAUGUUUCUCUUGGAUUUCAGAACCUGCAAUCUCAGACUAACAAUCCAAAGACUGAAACAUUCUCUCUGCUUUUGGCUGAUACAGUUAUUAUUGCAAGUGAGAAGCCUUCAGAAGUAUUGACUUCCAUUUGCUCUAAGGCUGUCAAGGAUGUUGCUUAUUCUUUCAAAGAAGACGAGGAGGAACCAUCCAAGAAGGAAUCUGAUGUCAGUAUCGCUGAGGCCGUCUUAUCUAAGGCAUCCUUGAGGUCAGAUAAGCAUGAUGUAUCAAAGGAAGAACUGCGGAGGCAACACCAAGCAGAACUUGCCAGGCAAAAGAAUGAGGAAACGGCCAGGCGGCUGGCCGUGGGUGGCCCUGCUACCGGGAAUACUCGUGGGCCUGUGAAAGCUUCGAGUGAAAUGAUGACCUACAAAAAUGUUAGUGAUCUUCCAUAUGCUAAGGAAUUUAUGAUCCAAGUGGAUCAGAAGAAUGAAGCUGUUCUCAUCCCAAUUUUUGACACUGUUGUGCCUUUCCAUGUGUCCACUAUCAAGAGUGUUACCAGCAAUCAAGAUAAUCGAACAUGCACUGUUCGCAUUAUAUUCAAUGUGCCCGGUACCCCAUUCUCGCCUCAUGAUGCCAACUCUAUCAAGCACCAGGGUGCUAUAUUUUUGAAAGAGGCGACCUUCCGUUCUAAGGACCCAAGACAUAGCAGCGAAGUUGUUCAGUUAAUUAAGACCCUUAGAAGGCAAGUCGCAUCAAGGGAGUCGGAGAGAGCUGAGAGGGCCACUUUAGUCACUCAGGAAAAACUUCAACUAGCUGGUAAUAGGAUGAAACCAAUAAGAUUGUUGGAUUUGUCGAUACGACCUGCAUUCCCUGGUCGUGGACGAAAGCUCACCGGAUCUUUGGAAGCUCAUAUUAAUGGUUUUCGUUAUUCUACUUCGAAAAUUGAUGAGCGAGUCGAUAUCAUGUAUGGAAAUAUAAAGCACGCCUUCUUCCAGCCUGCAGAGAGAGAGAUGAUAACGCUUUUGCACUUUCGCUUGCAUAAUCACAUAAUGGUAGGCAACAAGAAGACCUUAGACAUUCAGUUUUAUGUAGAGGUGAUGGAUGUUGUUCAGACGCUUGGGGGUGGGAGGAGAUCAGCCCUUGAUCCUGAUGAGAUCGAGGAGGAGCAGCGGGAGAGGGAUAGAAAGAACAAAAUAAACCUGGAAUUCCAGAACUUUGUUAAUAAGGUGCAUGAUCAUUGGGGACAACCCCAAUUCAGAGAUUUAGAUCUUGAGUUUGAUCAGCCUCUCAGAGAGCUUGGUUUCCAUGGAGUUCCCCAUAAGGCUUCAUCCUUCAUUGUUCCAUCUUCAAGCUGUUUAGUUGAACUGAUUGAGACGCCGCCUCUAGUGAUUACCUUGAGCGAAAUUGAAAUUGUUAAUUUGGAGAGGGUGGGUCUAGGGCAGAAGAGCUUUGACAUGGCCAUUGUGUUUAAGGAUUUUAGUAAGGAUGUAUUCCGCAUAGAUUCAAUUCCGUCUUCUUCGCUCGAUGGAGUGAAGGAAUGGCUAGAUACUACUGAUAUCAAGUACUACGAGAGCAGGCUGAACUUGAACUGGAGACCUAUAUUGAAAACUAUCACUGAUGAUCCGGAAAAGUUCAUUGAAGAUGGUGGGUGGGAGUUUCUCAACCUGGAAGCCAGCGAUUCAGACUCUGAUGCAUCUCAGGAAUCAGAUCAAGGGUACGCACCGUCUGAUAUGGAGGUCGAGUCUGAAUCCGAUGAUGAUGAUAAUGAUAGCGAGUCUCUGGUGGAGUCAGAGGAAGACGAGGAAGACGAUUCAGAGGAGGAUUCAGAGGAAGACAAGGGAAAGACAUGGGAGGAACUAGAGAAGGAGGCGAGCAGAGCUGACCGGGAAAGAGGCGGCGAGUCUGACAGCGAAGAGGAGAGGAAAUGGAGGAAGGCGAAGGCUCUGGGAAAAUCACGCCUUCCUGAUAGAAGAGAUUUGAAAGCCGCUCCUUCUAAGAGGCCAAAGCUUAGGUAACAUGGUUAAAGUUUAUGAUAAUUGCCAGUACUUAGCAAUUAUUUAGCAGUUCAGGUGAUGCUGUAUCAGUUAUCCUCUAGUUUUAUUAUUUUGCAAAAAUAGUUUGAUGUUUUGCAGCGUGAGCCAGCUCUGUUGGUUCCGGGCAAAUCAUGUAAUUGGGUCAAUUUUCCCUCAACUUUGUUGUAUCAUCUACACGUUGGAACUCAUUAUGGACUGUUAAAGAUCAGA